UACGACGGGGGCGAGCGUUGUUCGGAAUUACUGGGCGUAAAGGGCGCGUAGGCGGCGACUCAAGUUAGAUGUGAAAGUCCUGGGCUUAACCUGGGGACUGCAUUUGAUACUGGGUUGCUUGAAUUCGGGAGAGGGAUGCGGAAUUCCAGGUGUAGCGGUGAAAUGCGUAGAUAUCUGGAGGAACACCGGUGGCGAAGGCGGCAUCCUGGACCGAUACUGACGCUGAGGAGCGAAAGCCAGGGGAGCAAACGGG
rnacentral:rRNA from 1 species